CACAGCUCUCAGAAGAUGGUGUCCUCACUUGCUCUUUUAGCAGAAAGGGGCUAGAAGGGCAGAAGGGAGGAGUUACCAGGCCCUGGGAGGAAGUGAAGGCUUUAGACUUUUUCAGGGAAGUAACAGCAAGUGUGGAGGAAGAGUUCAAUGUCAGCAGUGCCUCUGUGGAUUCAGCCUGUAGUCUUACUAUCUGAAGAAAGCUGGCUUGGGAUAUUAUAGCCCUGGCAACAACAACAGAAACAGAGCAAAAUUCACCUCAUCUGACUGGGAAGCAGAAUAUUGACCCCACCAUCAAGACUGCCGUGCAAUAACCCCCAGCGCCUGUGCAGAGCAAAGGGACUUUUGCAGACGUGGUUAAAGGCUUUGAGGUAAUAGCCAAAACCUGGAAGCAGCCCAGGUGUCCAACAACAGCCACCAGGUUCCAGAUGCUAGUAGGAUGCCAACCAGACUUCCUGGACAGACAACCCCACCAAUGUGUCCUGGAGCUCCGCUUCCCCAGAGCCCUUCCCCACUAGGGAAAGAAAGAGACAGACUGGGAGUAUGGAUCGACCUGUUAACACCCAUCUUCAGUGGGGAAGCAAUUACAGAAGCCAGACCUUCCACCUUCUGCAUCCCACCAUGACCUUGAGUCCAUACUCCCAGAGGGUUAAAGAAUAGGAAAGCUAUCAGGAGGGAAUAGGAUACGGAGUUCUGGUGAUGGGAAUUGUGUAGAGUUAUACCCCUCUUAUCCUAUGGUUUUGUCAGUGUUUCUUUUUUAUAAAUAAAAAAAGGGAAAAAAAACCAAAAAGAGAAUUAUCUUAUGAUCCAGCAAUACCAUUCUUAGUCAUAUAUCCAGGGGACACUCAGACACGAAUCAGAAGGGACAUAUGCACCCUAACUGCAUUAUUUACAAUGGCCAAAGAGUGGACGAAGCCUAGAUGCCCAUCAUCAGAUAACUGGCUAAAGUUAUGGGAUAUAUAUUUCAUGGAAUACUAUUCUGCAAUCAAAAAGAUGAUAUUUUGUCUUUGAGAUAAAAUGGAUGGAACUGGAGGUGACGAUGCUUAAUGAAAUAAGUAAAGAGAUGAAAGACAACUAUCGGAUGGUUUCACUUAUAGCUGGAAUCUAGAGAUCUGAUUUAUAUAAACUUGCCCCCAAAAUCAAAUAAAGCAGAAGUAAGCAAACUGUAAGACUUGUGAGGGCUCUGGUGGCUAUCAUGAGAGGUGGAAGGGUAGGGAUACAGAACUUUGGAGGUGGUGUGAUGGUGUGAUGAUACACUGUAGUCUUAUAAUCUUGUAGCAAACUAUUAAUAACAAAUUAAAAAAUAAAAAUAAAGCAAUGACCUCAGCAGAUAUCGCUGGCCAUCCACGCGCUGCCAGGCAUAAGACCCCUCCCAGAUGAUCCCUUGAACUUCCUCCCUGUCCCUCUGGCACUGUCCCCUGUGACACUCCAGUUCUGCGCUGACCUUUCAACCUGACACAAGAAGCUGCUCCUCUCAGCCUCUGACC